UACGGGGGGGGGGCAAGCGUUUGUUCGGAAUUACUGGGCGUAAAGGGCUCGUAGGCGGCCAACUAAGUCGGAUGUGAAAUCCCCAAGCUUAACUUGGGAACUGCAUCCGAUACUGGAUGGCUUGAAUCCGGGAGAGGGAUGCAGAAUUCCAGGUGUAGCGGUGAAAUGCGUAGAUAUCUGGAGGAAUACCGGUGGCGAAGGCGGCAUCCUGGACCGGCAUUGACGCUGAGGAGCGAAAGCUAGGGGAGCAAACGGG
rnacentral:rRNA from 1 species